rnacentral:rRNA from 1 species
CUAAGCUUGACAUCCUUUUGACCGAUGCCUAAUCGCAUCUUUCCCUUCGGGGACAGGAGUGACAGGUGGUGCAUGGUUGUCGUCAGCUCGUGUCGUGAGAUGUUGGGUUAAGUCCCGCAACGAGCGCAACCCUUGCCUUUAGUUGCCAGCAUUAAGUUGGGCACUCUAGAGGGACUGCCAGGGAUAACCUGGAGGAAGGUGGGGAUGACGUCAAAUCAUCAUGCCCCUUAUGCUUAGGGCUACACACGUGCUACAAUGGGUGGUACAGAGGGCAGCCAAGUCGUGAGGCGGAGCUAAUCCCUUAAAGCCAUUCUCAGUUCGGAUUGUAGGCUGAAACUCGCCUACAUGAAGCUGGAGUUACUAGUAAUCGCAGAUCAGAAUGCUGCGGUGAAUGCGUUCCC